AAGGCAGGCUGAUAGCCGCCGAAUGUGUGAUUUCGUUCGGAGGAAAGUCCGGGCUCCGUAGAACAUGAUGCCGGGUAACGCCCGGGGAUCUUUCUACAAAGGUCACAGAAAGCGCCACAGAAAAAAACCGCCUGAUCGCCAGGCCUCUCGUCCACAUAAUUUAUUUGACCUAUUGUGUGGACGAGAGGUCGGGUGGUCGGGUAAGGGUGAAAAGGCGAGGUAAGAGCUCACCUUCUUUGCGGCAACGUAAAGAGAACGGCAAGCCUCAUCAGGAGCAAAGCCAAGCUGCGAGUGGGUUGUUCGCCCAAUUACUUGCUGGUAGACUGCGCGACCGUUCUAGUGAUGGAACGGCAAGAUAGAUGGCUAUCGCCUACACGGGCAUGCAAAUGUUCGGUAGGGACAGAACCCGGCUUAUACGCCUGCCUUUUUU
rnacentral:RNase_P_RNA from 1 species